ensembl:lncRNA
CCGCGUUCCCGUGCAGAGGCGUUGCGGGCCGCUCGUGCCGUGGUGCGGCUCUGCUUCUCGCCGUUCGUAACUGCGGUUCCACUUUGCCUUGUGCUGCAGCUUCGCUUCUAAGGGCCGAUGACGCUGCUGCCCUCAGCGGGAUCGGGAGCACGGAGGGAGUCAGAAGUAACGCAAGCGUUGCUCGCUUGUCUUAACGUCGUGCCCGUUGCUUUGUUUCACCCGGCUGCGUGCCGGUAUCUGUGGGAUCCAUCAGAUACAGCCCGUAAUUGAGUCCCUCAAAUGCUGGGAAAGGGAUACACGAGCCCAGUGACCAGCUGUGUGUUGUACCCAGCCUGACUUCCGCACUGCCCCUGGGCUGCAUCAGAAAGGGGUCAGCAGGGCAAGGGUGCGGAGGAAGCCGCAGAGAUGCUCAUACAGCAGGAGCACCUGUCUUGUGAAGACAAGCCGAGGGAGAUGGGCCUGUUCAGCCUGCACUAUAGAAGGUUCCAGGAAGACCACGUUGUGGCCUUCCAGUACUUAAAGGGAGCUUAAAAAUGGAAGAGAGACUGACUUUUUACACAGGCAGAUAGUAAUAGGUGGAAUGGUUUUAAAAUAAAAGAGAGAUGUAAAU